rnacentral:rRNA from 1 species
AACGCGAAGAACCUUACCAAAUCUUGACAUCCUUUGACCGCUCUAGAGAUAGAGUUUUCCCCUUCGGGGGGACAAAGUGACAGGUGGUGCAUGGUUGUCGUCAGCUCGUGUCGUGAGAUGUUGGGUUAAGUCCCGCAACGAGCGCAACCCUUAAGCUUAGUUGCCAUCAUUAAGUUGGGCACUCUAAGUUGACUGCCGGUGACAAACCGGAGGAAGGUGGGGAUGACGUCAAAUCAUCAUGCCCCUUAUGAUUUGGGCUACACACGUGCUACAAUGGACAAUACAAAGGGCAGCUAAACCGCGAGGUCAAGCAAAUCCCAUAAAGUUGUUCUCAGUUCGGAUUGUAGUCUGCAACUCGACUACAUGAAGCUGGAAUCGCUAGUAAUCGUAGAUCAGCAUGCUACGGUGAAUACGUUCCCGGGUCUUGUACACACGC